CACGUAGGGACCAAGCGUUGUCCGGAUUCAUUGGGCGUAAAGAGCUCGUAGGCGGUUCGAUAAGUCGGGUGUGAAACCUCCAGGCUCAACCUGGAGACGCCACCCGAUACUGUCGUGACUAGAGUCCAGUAGGGGAGCGUGGAAUUCCUGGUGUAGCGGUGAAAUGCGCAGAUAUCAGGAGGAACACCAGCGGCGAAGGCGGCGCUCUGGGCAGUUCCUGACACUGAGACACGAAGGCCAGGGGAGCAAACGGG
rnacentral:rRNA from 1 species